rnacentral:rRNA from 1 species
GUGUCAGCCGCCGCGGUAAUACGGGGGGAGCAAGCGUUGUUCGGAUUUACUGGGCGUAAAGGGCGCGUAGGCGGUCAGCACAAGUCAGUUGUGAAAUCUCCGGGCUUAACUCGGAAAGGUCAACUGAUACUGUGCGACUAGAGUGCAGAAGGGGCAACUGGAAUUCUCGGUGUAGCGGUGAAAUGCGUAGAUAUCGAGAGGAACACCUGCGGCGAAGGCGGGUUGCUGGGCUGACACUGACGCUGAGGCGCGAAAGCCAGGGGAGCGAACGGGAGGAGAAACCCUCGGAGUAC